GCGUAACGCGUGGGAAUCUGCCCUUGGGUUCGGAAUAACAGCGAGAAAUUGCUGCUAAUACCGGAUGAUGACGUAAGUCCAAAGAUUUAUCGCCCAAGGAUGAGCCCGCGUAGGAUUAGCUUGUUGGUGAGGUAAGAGCUCACCAAGGCGACGAUCCUUAGCUGGUCUGAGAGGAUGAUCAGCCACACUGGGACUGAGACACGGCCCAGACUCCUACGGGAGGCAGCAGUGGGGAAUAUUGGACAAUGGGCGAAAGCCUGAUCCAGCAAUGCCGCGUGAGUGAUGAAGGCCUAGGGUUGUAA
rnacentral:rRNA from 1 species